GUCAGGGAAAAGGGCCCUGACAUGGAGAAUAGGAGUCCUUGUCAAGAAGGAUCGUAAUGAAGCACGUGACCUUACUGAGUGCUGGUUGGUGAUAACAGGGAAGAAUGGGGGAAUUGAACAGGAGCAGAACCAAGGUCAGUCCAGAGAAGAGGAGGGAGGAGCCUGGAGGAUGGUGGCGGAUUAAGACAGCAUCUGGCAGCCCCAUGGGGGAAAGCUGGGCCACAGCUGACCCUCUCCCCCUUUCUAAUUCUGAUUUGUAUCUCACUCCACACACCCUUCUUAGAUUCAGAACACAGGGUCCCUCUGAAGAAGCUGGAGCCAGAGAGACUGAGCUCCUGUCCUCAGCACUCAGGACUCAUCUCAUCUAAGAAAGAUGCUUUAGGGAGAGGGACUGGGUUUUGGUCCCAGGGCCCGGUGCGGGGGGCUCCACCCCCAAUAAUCUGGCAUAGAGCAAACCCCGCACAAAUGGAACCUCUGCAUCCAUUAUGUGGUGCCAAGACCUAGAGAUUUGAGGUCAAGGCCUUGUCAAGAGAAGGAGCAGGAGGUGGCAGGUCAAGUGCAUCUUGAGUGGCUGUGAGCCAUGGUGUCCGAGCCCUAGACUUCAAGGCCAUGGCUGCCUCCCCUCCAAGUCCUCCAGAUGGCAGCCUUGGAAACCGGACAUGUGCUGCCCUCUCCUGGCUGGUCAGCUCACUUCUGCUGAGCUCAGGGUGAGGGUGAGGUGAAGGGGAGCCUCCGAGGUAGGGUGUGCUGCUCUGCACCAGCACCUUCACUCUGGGAAGGGUGUAGGAGGGGCCAUGGGGGCCUCCCAAGAAUUCUAGGGGGAUGGGAGAGCCAGGACCUGAAAUCCAAAGGCAGGGGAAUUAGGUCUCCAUGAGGUUGCAGGCCUGAGUCAUCUGGCCCACUGAUGAGGAUGCAGAAAGGCCAGCAGGGACAGAAAAGGAGGGUGGCUCAGCAGUGGCAGGAGGCUCACAUUUGAGAGACCACAGAAGGAUCCCAGCAAGCAGGGUCUCACCACCCCUUCCCAAUAGCUCUGUCAGAGCCAGUCCAUACCUCCAGGGAGCCCAGCAAGCCCAGGAACCUGGUGCCCAGAAAUUGAGUCAGAGCAGGAGACACAGUCACGCAGGGCAAGCUUGAGCCUGAGGCAUAAAAGCGAGAAGGAAGGAGUGGGUCACACAGCAAGAACACACUCCUGCACCCGUGUCACUCAGAAGUACUCUAGAGGAGAGUGGGAGGAUGGGGGAGAAAAACACACACAUGCCUCUCUUUAUAUAAAAUUGCAUAUUUAAUUUGGUCAUGAAUUCAUAAACACAUGAGUAUUUUGUACCUAAUGGCCUUUCUUGUACUGUUUGAUGUUUCCAGCU
ensembl:lncRNA